AAUUUUCUCCAGAAUGGGAGAGACCAUGAUCAUGAAGGUGAUUUUUCCAGGGCAAGGCUCACCAACUACAAGGUGGAUGUGCUUACCCCUGCAGUUUGCUCAAAUGUGGGAAAUCCAAUUGCAUGAUUUGUGAAUGUGGAGGACUAUGCUAACCUUUUCUCUGU
ensembl:snRNA U1 U1 spliceosomal RNA